rnacentral:rRNA from 1 species
CAGUAGCCGCGGUAAUACGAGGGGAGCUAGCGUUGUUCGGAAUUACUGGGCGUAAAGCGCGCGUAGGCGGCUUUUUAAGUCAGAGGUGAAAGCCCGGGGCUCAACCCCGGAAUUGCCUUUGAAACUGGAAAGCUAGAAUCUUGGAGAGGUCAGUGGAAUUCCGAGUGUAGAGGUGAAAUUCGUAGAUAUUCGGAAGAACACCAGUGGCGAAGGCGACUGACUCGACAAGUAUUGACGCUGAGGUGCGAAAGCGUGGGGAGCAAACAGGAUUAGAUACCCCCGUAGUCCCUGUCUCUUAUAC